rnacentral:lncRNA from 1 species
CACCCACCACCGCAAGGGCCCCGCCCGGUUCCGGUCCCUCGACUUCGGCGAGCGCAAUGGUUACCUCAAGGGCGUCGUCACCGACGUCAUCCACGACCCGGGCCGCGGCGCGCCGCUGGCCAAGGUCACCUUCCGCCACCCGUUCCGCUACAAGCACCAGAAGGAGCUCUUCGUCGCCGCCGAGGGCAUCUACACGGGCCAGUUCAUCUACUGCGGGCGCCGCGCCACGCUCUCCAUCGGCAACGUGCUGCCGCUCAGGGGGAUCCCCGAGGGUGCCGUCGUCUGCAACGUCGAGCACCACGUCGGGGACCGCGGCGUCUUCGCCAGGGCGUCCGGGGACUACGCCAUCGUCAUCAGCCACAACCCGGACAACGGGACA